AAGACCAGACUUUCAGGGAUCAUUUCUAUAGUUUCUGACUUGAGGAAUGUGCUUCUAAAGUAUCUGGUCUCGCUAACCACGAUGAUGAGUCAUGAUAUUCUCCUCUGAGCGUGAAGCUGACAGAAAGUGAUUAUUAAGUUCACAUGUUCUGUCAUUGAUGAUUGUUGUGUACUUCCUCAUGGAGUACGCAGGAAGAGAGUAUGUUCAGAGUGGU